GCCAAAGCCGUGAGGGUCCAGUAUGAGGAGCUUCAGCCGGUGGUCACCAUCCAGGAGGCUAUUUCUGCCCAGUCCUUCUAUCAGCCAAUCAGAACCCUCCAGAGAGGCGACCUGGAGGCAGGGUUUAAACAGGCCGAUCAUGUCUUGGAGGGUGAGAUGCAUAUAGGAGGUCAGGAACAUUUCUACCUGGAGACAAACGUAACUCUUGCAGUUCCUCGAGGAGAAGAUGGAGAGAUGGAGCUCUUUGUUUCUACUCAGGCUGCUGCUAAAACACAGGUAACAAUACUUUGAGACACGCGUAACAUUACUCUGAACACAGAUAACAAUACUCUAAACAUAGGUAACAAUACUCUGAACAUAGAUAAGCGUACUCUAAAACCCAGGUAACUGCAAUGUGACCCCCAAACCACUAGGUGGAGGCACCUGUGGUUGCAUUUCUGGAGAGAAAUAUUUAGUUCAAUUCAUUUUAUUUUGUAUAGCCCAAAAUCGCAAAUUAGAAAUUUGCCUCAGAGGGCUUUACAGUCCGUACACAUGCGACAUCCUCUGUCACGAAAUCCACCAUCGGCACAGAAAAAACUCCCCAAAAAAUGAAAAAACCCUUCCAAGAGGGAAAAAAGGGAAGAAACCUUUGGGAGAACGUCAGAGGAGGGAUCCCACUCCCGGGAUGGACAGACUACAAUGGAUGCCAUGUGUACAGAAUGAACAAUGUAUAUUACAUGCAAUUCCUAUGACAGAAAUGAUUCAAGUAAUUGUGAGUAGUAAGCCAGGCGCACAGCAGGACCACUGCAGGGGCAACCACCAUCACAUAGAACCACCAUCAGAUAGAACCACCAUCAGAUAGGACCACCAUCUACAGAAGCCUGUGGGGAGGGAGAGCACAGAGACUUUAGGAGAGGGUAAUGUUGGUUUAUGAGUACAGUAAUAUGAUUAAUAUCUAAAAUAAUAAUGAUGAUGAUGACGAUGGCAGCAGCAGGCGUCAGCAGGGCCACGGUAGGUGUCAGGACCAGGGUCCAGAAGGAACUACGAUCUAGAGAGACCUGCUAGGGGAGAAAGCACAAAAACAACUCCCGGAAAGAAGCUGAAUUAGUCAUGUGCAUUAAUAAAACGUGAAUUAUGGUAGAACGAGAGCGUGAGAGAGGAGCUCGGUGUGUCCUAAGAAGUCCCCCGGCAGUCUAAGCCUAUAGCAGCUUAACUAAGGGCUGGUCUGGGCUAACCUGAGCCAGCCCUAACUAUAGGCAGAAUCAAAGAGGAAAGUUUUAAGUUUUACUUUAAAAGAGCUGACCGAAUCUGCCCCCCGGACUGAAAGUGGAACCUGGUUCCACAAAAGAGGAGCUUGAUAACUGAAGGCUCUGGCCCCCAGCCUACUUUUUAAAACCAUAGGAACAACAAGUAACCAGCAUCUAUGGAGCGCAGCUGCCUUGUAGGGCAAUAAGGUGUUACAAGAUACGACGGUGCCUCACCACCAAGUGCCUUGUAGGUGAGGAGAAGUACCUAAAAAUCUGUUCUUGAUUUAACAGGGAGCCAGUGCAGAGAAGUUAAUAAAGGAGUGAUAUGAUCCCUUUUCUUAGUUCUUGUUAAUACACGUGCUGCAGCAUUCUGAAUCAACUGAGUCUCACUUUGAGACAGGAAGUUCCUGAUUUUUGAUAUGUUACGUAGAUGAAAAAAGGCAGUCCUUGAAGUCUUCUUUAUAUGCGAGUUGAAGGUCAUAUCCUGGUUGAAGAGAACUCCCAUCAUAAAAGACAUUCCAUCCAUAAAAACUGUAUCACGUGACAGCUGGCUUCAAAGGCGCUCUGGGCCUAUCAAGAUAAGAUUUUUUCUGAUUGUAGCAUCAGGAAAUUGCCGGUCAUCCAAGUUUUGAUGUCUCCAAGACAUU
ensembl:lncRNA